rnacentral:rRNA from 1 species
GAUAGGCUAAUUAAGAGCGUAUGGGGAAUGCCUUGGCUCUCAGAGGCGAUGAAGGACGUGAUAAGCUGCGAAAAGCUACGGGGAUCGGCACAUACGAUUUGAUCCGUAGAUAUCCGAAUGGGGAAACCCUCUAUGUUGAAGACAUAGAACCUUUUUUAAGGAGUUAACCCGGGGAACUGAAACAUCUAAGUACCCGGAGGAAAAGAAAACAAUUGUGAUUCCGCUAGUAGCGGCGAGCGAACGCGGAAUAGCCCAAACCUAUA